GCUGCGGGAGUAGCGGUGGCUGAGGGAUCAGUUGGUGGUGUUGGGUGCUGCUUCCCGCCGCUUAGUACCCAGGGUGGGAAGAGCGCGCCGGCGUAUGUGCACGCGAGGUAUGCCAGUAGAAUUCGGGCUACGGCCCUCGAGACGAAGUUAUUUCCGCGUCCUUCUCCAACCUGGCGCCCUCCAGGUGCUGGCUGGGAAAGUUUCCUAGUAUGCCAGCUGAAAGACGCCCACAGCAGAUUCUUGUAUCUAAUCAAACGUGGCUAAUCUGGAAAAGGUCAAGUAGAAUCAAAAUACUUGGAUGGGAGGCCAUCAGGAGAAGGACCUUACAGAAGAAGGCAGCAAUCCAUUAAUAUUGUGUUGCCAAGAAAACUCGUGAACAUGAACCAGAGGCUGAGUUUGAUUGAAGGAAGUGUUUAUCUUUACCUCUUCUGUAUUAAAAUUCUUCAAGGUUCUGCUGCUUUAACUUGGAUUUAAGGAGCAAAUUUUUUCUCUGAUAAAAGCAUGUUUUACAACCAUCAAGAUGAGAGUUUCUAUAAAAGGAUCCAAUUAUCACAGAGAAUGUAGAAUUAUAUCCCUCAGAUAUUUUAACUAUGAUCAAAACUAUAAAUCAGCUACUAUGGUCAAUAGUGAAGGAUAAUUCAACAGUAAUACCUGGACAGCAUAGGUUACCAAACUCUGAAUUAGAGUGCUUUUGGUCAUCACAUUAAACCCUACAAUUACUUUCAUUUUGUUAAGUGUUUUGUGUGAAAUGAUAUUUGUGAAUUAUGGAAUAUGGCUUGAUUGAUGUGUGAACCCAGUUAUGGCUUCAAUAAACUAAAGUUAAGUAAACAAUGAAUUAAAUCAAUAUCUGAAUCUAAACUGCAUUUAAUAAAGAUUGUGGAAUCAAUUCUGUUGUCUGUUCAACUAUCUGAUAGACCCUGGCUGAGUUUAUGCUGAUAAAGCCUAUAUUGAUCAGUUCCAACCUUUGUACUUUAUGGUUCAAUGUGCUUUGAAAACUUGACUGCUUCGAUUGAAUUAAGCAUGGCUAAACGUAUCCAAUCCCAGCUUUUGUCUUUCAGCUUAUUUUACUUUAUAGGUUAUUAUAAGGAUAAAGCAGAGGGAAGAAUUAUUGCACUACUUUGAGCUUACUGGAGAAAGAGCCAAAAUAAAUGCAAGUAAUAAAUCCACUAAGAAACCUUC